rnacentral:tRNA from 22 species
GCCCAGGUGGCGAAAUUGGUAGACGCGCUAGGUUCAGGUCCUAGUGGUGGCAACACCGUGGAGGUUCGAUUCCUCUCUUGGGCACCA